GGAACGCCGACGGGCGCGACGGUCGGGGGACGGGGUCCUCUCGCCGUCCGGGGCGGGGGGGCUCCGUCCCCCGGGCGGUCGACGACUGGUUUAGAACUGAUACGGACUAGGAGAAUCCGACUGUUUAAUUAAAACGUAGCGUUGCGAAGGCCCCAGAGGGUGCUGACGCAACGUGAUUUCUGCCCAGUGCUCUGAAUGUUAAAAGCGAAGAAAUUCGACCAAGCGCGGGUAAACGGCGGGAGUAACUAUGACUCUCUUAAGGUAGCCAAAUGCCUCGUCAUCUAAUUAGUGACGCGCAUGAAUGGAUUAACGAGAUUCUCACUGUCCCUACUUACACCCCGGCGAAACCACAGCCAAGGGAACGGGCUUGGCGGAAUCGGCGGGGAAAGAAGACCCUGUUGAGCUUGACUCUAGUCGAACGUCGAGGAACAGCACGGACGAACGUAGCAUAGGUGGGAGGCUCCGGCCGAACCUGAAAUACCACCGUCUCCGUCGUUGUUCUUCUCAUUUGGUGGUGU
rnacentral:rRNA from 1 species